rnacentral:rRNA from 1 species
UACGGGGGGGGGCAAGCGUUGUUCGGAAUUACUGGGCGUAAAGGGCUCGUAGGUGGCCAACUAAGUCAGACGUGAAAUCCCUCGGCUUAACCGGGGAACUGCGUCUGAUACUGGAUGGCUUGAGUUCGGGAGAGGGAUGCGGAAUUCCAGGUGUAGCGGUGAAAUGCGUAGAUAUCUGGAGGAACACCGGUGGCGAAGGCGGCAUCCUGGACCGACACUGACGCUGAGGGGGCGAAAGCCAGGGGAGCAAACGGG